UCUAAUUCACCCCAGGAUGCCAUUGGCCUUCCUGGCCAAAAGGGCACCGUGCUGACUCAUGGUCAUCCUGCUGUCCACCAGGACCCCCAGAUACUAGUCUCUUCUUUAGGGCUGAGGGCUGACGUGGUGCGACCGUUACCAUGGUGACGCGGGAGAUUUAAAAGCGGCUGUAACUCGAGACAAGCACUCAGUUCCUCGGAUCAGCUGACUGAAGCCAGCUUGGCCGGAGCCGGGAGGGAAAUCUCGAAGCUACAGAGUGAAACACCUUUAAGAAUGAGAAGUUGACUAUGACUUGAAGGUGCUCUCCACAGCAUUUCCUGCCAGCUAAUUUGGAUGUGCUGCUACAAACUGCCCAGGCUUCUGAAAACGUCAUCCUCAGGACUCAGACACAUGGGUAACUCUUAAAGCACACUUUUGAAUUGAAUCUCUUCUGUAGAAAGAUCUCAGGGAACUCAACAUCACGAAAUGCUUUCAAUCAUGAAAGUACAAGCCCUGAUGACUUCUGUAGCAAAGAUGGACAAAUCAAUAAUCCUCUAAUUUAUGCCACAAGAAGACAAAUUAGAUCACCAGAAGAAGAGAGACGUGCAUUUAGUGAUCACAUAUGCAAAGUGUGGUGCAACUAACUUGCUUGUUGUGAAGUAAAAAACUUGUGCUAUUUGUGCAGAGUCACACAUACUUGAUGUGGAUUUGCACCAAAUCCAUUCACUCAGCAUCAUUGGUCAUUUCAGCUCUUAAGCUUCCUUUGCUCUUCUGUAUUACAUUGAUUUACUAUAAAGUUUCCAGCUUGUCUAAAACCUAAGAGAUUUCAUCAUAUUUUCUUUUAAUAUAUUUUGGUGUUGGGGAACAAGAGGCUGGAGAGCAGACCCACAGAGUGGGAUCUGGAGGUUUCUGGCUGAUGGCAAGUUGAAUAUGAGCCAUCAGGGUGCCCUGGCAGCCAGGAGGGCCAACUGUGUCCUGGAGUGCAUCAAGCACAGCAUUGCCAGCUGGGCAAGUGAGGUGAUUGUCCCGCUCUGCUCUGCACUAGUGCAGCCUCACCUGGAGCACUGUGUGCAGUUCUGGGCACCAUAGGAUAAAAAGGAUAUAAAGCUACUGGAGAGUGUGCAGAGGGCCACAAAGCUGGUGAGGGGUUCAGAGAGGAAGCCAUAUGAGGAGCAGCUAAAGUCACUUGGUUUGCUCAGCCUGGAGAAGAGGAGGGGAGACCUCAUCACGGUGUACAGCUUCCUCACAAGGGGAGGAGAGGGGCACGCACUGAUCUCAUCUCUGGUGACCAAUGGCAGAACAUGAGGGAAUGGCAGGAGGAUGUGACAGGGGAGGUUUAGACUGGGUAUUACGAAAGGUGCUUUGCCCAGAGGGUUGUAGAUCACUGGAACAGGCUCCCCGGGGAGGUAGUCGUGGCCCCAACCCUGGCAGUAUUCAAGAAUUAUUUGGACAAUGCCCUCAGGAACAUGGUGUGAACUAUGGGGCUGCCCUAUGCAGGGACAGGAGUUGGACUUGAUGAUCCUUGUGGGACCCUUCCAACUUAGGACAUUCUAUGAUUCCAUGAUUAUUGUAAUAUAAUAGUAAUACUAAAAACUCCAUGAUAUAUUUCCAGAUGUAAUCAGUAUGACUGCAUCUGCCAGUGGGAUCAGAGCUUUUAGUUGCCUGCCAUUUGAACUAGGAGAGGAAAUUACAAGCAUAAAGGACAGCUAUUCCUUUCUCUUUCUUUCUCUUUAACGGAAAUUACUUUUUUUCCUUUACACAUGGUGUGCAUAACCAAGGUGGUAAUGGUUCAAGUCAUUGAGCAUACACGAAAAAUACAUUCCCUGUUGUGAAGUUUAGUGCCAUCUUCUAGUCUGAAGGAAAUGGGAAACAAAUGUUGUAGGAAUUGCUCAGUUUAGUCAGCUGUUAGUAAUGUGAGAAAAUUUCCUAGGUGCUCUGCUGCAAAAACAUUUUUAUGUGUACAGACCAGGCAAAUGGAGAAGCUAUGAAAGACUGAAACAUACUUGUUUUUCCUGUGUGCACUGGAUUUAUGCAAGGUGGUUAGCACUAGGUCUCCUAAGAGUCUUGAGCAAACCCACCAGAAUAAGCUCAGCUAUUUUAGGUGAUCAGCUACUUCUCGGCAAGUGCAGACCGUGAUAUAAUUUUAUACAGUUGUUGCUAGGAAAAUGUUGAGCAGAUUUUUUGUGAGGGCAGCAAAAGCACAUCACUGACAUUAAAAGAAAUGAAACAACCCAAGACCUACUCCUUUCAGAUAGACAGAGCACUUUGUGCAUGAAAUGAGGUGUAGGAUAUUGCUUUUUUCUUGUCACUUUAUCUAGUUUCAUUUCUAUUUCUAUUAGAUUUCUAUUAUACAAAUGCACUCCCAUUAGUUGUACUUCAUUAUAACUACAUUAUCCUUUCCACGCUUUGUUGUGUUUCUCUUAGGUAAGAUGGAAUGAGCUUGUCUAAAACCUCUACUAAAUUUAGUGUUAAGGAGUCUUUGCAGCAGCUUCAAAGGCCACUUUGGAUUAGCACCUUGCAAAUUUAAAUAUAUUAUUUUAUUAUAAUAAAAAUGGAAAUUUUAGGUAUCAACCUGUCCUGAUAUUAUUUGGAUUUGGUUUUAUUUUUCUCAGUAUUUUCUGGUUUAGCUCACAUUUGUUUUAUUAAUUACCAGUUAAAAGAGUGCUAGAGGAAUAGCAUAAAAGAUGAUCAUAUCUUGAAGUUCACUGUUUCCUUUGGAAAUAGUGGUUAAACUGUGCCAUACUCUGCAAGAAAUUUCUGUGAUUAUUCUGGGAUUUAACUUGGCCAGAGUAUUUCUGUUUGUACUGGUGGAAUUCAGAUUCUGAAUAGUUGCUUCCUUCAGGCUGAGCUAUACUGUCUUGCAGUAUUCAUUGAUUGAAAACAUAAUAAAAACUAAAUGUGUAAUGGUUUGCCGCCCUGCAGCCAAGUUGAAAGACAAAUCUAUUUUUAAAAAGUAUUAAUCAGAUCAUUAUUUUUAUUGCUCAGGGUAUCCUUACCACUCUUUCAAAAAAUGAGGUUUAUUCUUGCUUUAUUAUCCAUUCCAAUCUGUCUGAGCACCAAUUUUGUUGAAGCUACAAUGGAUAAGACAAAAACAUUUUUAAAGGUGGCAAUACAAGACAAAAAGUUUCCAACGCUGAAGCGAUGCCAUUUUUUGAUUCCUUAGCCCAGAUGAUGCAAAGAGAGAGAAUCUUUUGUUGGAAAACUUAGACUAACCUCCUAAUUUACUGGGUUACCUUAGUCGUUUCACACUUGCAAUGCUAUAUAAAAAAUAUUUUGAAAGAUGAGGUGGUCUACCAAAGGCCUUAUCUACUGAAUCUGGGCAACACGGUUGAGAAUGGUUGGAAGCCAUUCACUUCUCUCUUUGUAAAAGGACAUAUUUUUUAACUGUCAGGGGGCCUCUAGAUUAUGAAAUACCUGCUUUGAACAUGUCAGUGACAUACAAAAACAGUUUGAUUUGUGUUGAGAUGUUUCUAAUUACAGCUCAGAAUAGCAUGACUGAAAAGACUGCAUUGCUAUGCUGGUCAUUUGCAUAGAUAGUCUGUGUCCUUAUAGCAGAUCAUUAACCCAGAGAAACCUUUGAAAGGACAAUACUUAAACAGUCAUUGCAGGUUCCUUAUCAAUGAUAACAAUACCACUUCUACGUUAAUUAGUUAGCUGUAGGAAAAUACCACAAAUAAAUAAACUAAUAGAAAUAAAUAAAUUUUAGAAAAUUUCUUCUGUGCUUUUAACUGACUCUUUAAAGGUUGUGCAGACUGUUACUACUUUUUGGAUUAAUUUAGUCAAAUUCAUUCAUUUCAGUUAUUGUAUUGACAACACAUGUCAGCUCAGUGAAGGCUGCUCUUGCACUUGACUGUUCUUAUCAAAACAAUUCAUAUUCACAUGAGACAACUUUCAUAAGAACGAUUUCCAACCACACCUUAAUAAGAAUCAAGCUUUUUAUUUCGCUUCUACCAUGUGCUGAAGGAAGAAUAUACAUGCUGUCCUGCCAUAUGAAAAGCCCAGCACUUAAAACUGUAUAUUUAUUUUUGAGAAAGGAAUAAGAGGUUCAUAUUGGAGAGAUAUGUAUGUAUUACUGAAGAAUUAUAAAGUAAUCUUCAGGUGUAUUUAUUCUAAGGUUCUGCUACAAUUUCCAUUGUUUUGAAGCUCACCACACCCAUUGUGUAGUUAAGGUAGGCUGAUGCUACUCUUUUUUCAAAUGCAUUGCUAUGGAUCAAGUCCUUUGUGUAUUAUCUGGAUUGUCUUUAUGAGCAAUUAAUGCUGUAGCAAAUAGGAAAUAAGUGUUUCAAUAAAUACUGAUUAUUGAGCUCCAUAUGGAAGUAAUGUGGUAAAAUGAAAUUGUGUAUGAUCUACAGGAGAUCAGGCUUAAAAAAUGUGUCAAUCUGUUUAAUGUGUUUUGACUGAAUUAUUAACUUAUGCCUAAUAAAUCUCAUAGAGGUGAACAGAACAGAAUAUCCAUGCAAGCUACUAUAUUAAAGACUGAUUUCUCCUCUG